GACGAACGCUGGCGGCGUGCCUAAUACAUGCAAGUUGAGCGCUGAAGGUUGGUACUUGUACCAACUGGAUGAGCAGCGAACGGGUGAGUAACGCGUGGGGAAUCUGCCUUUGAGCGGGGGACAACAUUUGGAAACGAAUGCUAAUACCGCAUAAAAACUUUAAACACAAGGUUUAAGUUUGAAAGAUGCAAUUGCAUCACUCAAAGAUGAUCCCGCGUUGUAUUAGCUAGUUGGUGAGGUAAAGGCUCACCAAGGCGAUGAUACAUAGCCGACCUGAGAGGGUGAUCGGCCACAUUGGGACUGGGACACGGCCCAAACCCCUACGGGAGGCAGCAGUAGGGAAUCUUCGGCAAUGGACGAAAGUCUGACCGAGCAACGCCGCGUGAGUGAAGAAGGUUUUCGGAUCGUAAAACUCUGUUGGUAGGGAAGAACGUUGGGGAGAGUGGAAAGCUCAUCAAGUGACGGUAACUACCCAGAAAGGGACGGCUAACUACGUG
rnacentral:rRNA from 1 species